GGAUGCGAUCAUACCAGCACUAAAGCACCGGAUCCCAUCAGAACUCCGAAGUUAAGCGUGCUUGGGCGAGAGUAGUACUAGGAUGGGUGAAGUUAAGCGUGCUUGGGCGAGAGUAGUACUAGGAUGGGUGACCUCCUGGGAAGUCCUCGUGUUGCAUUCC
rnacentral:rRNA from 2 species